UACAGAGGUCCCGAGCGUUGUUCGGAUUCAUUGGGCGUAAAGGGUGCGUAGGCGGUUUUUUAAGUUUGAUGUGAAAUCCCGGGGCUCAACCCUGGAAUUGCAUUGAAUACUGAAGAACUAGAGAUCUGGAGAGGAAACUGGAAUUUACGGUGUAGCAGUGAAAUGCGUAGAGAUCGUAAGGAAGACCAGUGGCGAAGGCGAGUUGCUGGACAGAUACUGACGCUGAGGCACGAAGGCCAGGGGAGCAAACGGG
rnacentral:rRNA from 1 species